rnacentral:rRNA from 1 species
AUGCAAGUCGAGCGCGCCCUUCGGGGUGAGCGGCGGACGGGUUAGUAACGCGUGGGAAUAUGCCCAAAGGUACGGAAUAGCCUCUGGAAACGGAGAGUAAUACCGUAUGUGCCCUUCGGGGGAAAGAUUUAUCGCCUUUGGAUUAGCCCGCGUUAGAUUGGGUAGUUGGUGGGGUAAUGGCCUACCAAGCCUACGAUCUAUAGCUGGUUUUAGAGGAUGAUCAGCAACACUGGGACUGAGACACGGCCCAGACUCCUACGGGAGGCAGCAGUGGGGAAUCUUGGACAAUGGGCGCAAGCCUGAUCCAGCCAUGCCGCGUGAGUGAUGAAGGCCUUAGGGUCGUAAAGCUCUUUCGCCAGGGAUGAUAAUGACAGUACCUGGUAAAGAAACCCCGGCUAACUCCGUGCCAGCAGCCGCGGUAAUACGGAGGGGGUUAGCGUGGUUCGGAAUUACUGGGCGUAAAGCGCGCGUAGGCGGAUCGGAAAGUUGGGGGUGAAAUCCCGGGGCUCAACCCCGGAACUGCCUCCAAAACUAUCGGUCUAGAGUUCGAGAGAGGUGAGUGGAA